GGAUUAGGCAUGCAAGUCGAGCGAGAAAGGGAUUCUUCGGAAGCCCGAGUAAAGCGGCGAAAGGGUGAGUAAUACAUGGAUAACCUACCCCUGAGAGGGGGACAACACCUGGAAACGGGUGCUAAUACCCCAUAAGACCACGGGUUCUUGGACCUGUGCUAAAAGAUGGCCUCUGUUUCAAGCUUUCGCUCAGGGAGGGGUUCAUGGCCUAUUAGCUUGUUGGUGGGGUAACGGCCUACCAAGGCUUUGAUGGGUAGCCGGGCUGAGAGGUUGUUCGGCCACACUGGGACUGAGACACUGCCCGGACUCCUCCGGGAGGCUGCAGUCGAGAAUCUUUCGCAAUGCGCGCAAGCGUGACGGAGUGACGCCGCGUGGACGAUGAAGGCCUUCGGGUUGUAAAGUCCAAUCGCAGGGGAAGAACGGUGGGAGGGAAAUACUCUGCCCAUUAGACGUUACCCUGGUCGAAGCGCCGGCUAAACACGUGCCAGCAGCCGCGGUAAUACGUGUGGCGCAAGCGUUGUUCGGAAUCACUGGGCAUAAAGAGUGCGUAGGCGGUGUCGUAAGUCGGGUGUGAAAGCCCUCGGCUCAACCGAGGAAUUGCAUCCGAAACUGCGGCGCUAGAGUACGGUAGGGGGGGGAGUGGAAUUCCUGGUGGAGCGGUGAAAUGCGUAGAUAUCAGGAGGAACACCGGUGGCGAAGGCGACUCUCUGGCCCGUUACUGACGCUGAGUGCACGAAAGCUAGGGGAGCAAACAGGAUUAGAUACCCUGGUAGUCCUAGCUGUAAACGAUGGGCACUAAGUAGAGGGGUUUU
rnacentral:rRNA from 1 species